rnacentral:rRNA from 1 species
CAGUCGCCGCGGGAAUACAGAGGGUGCGAGCGUUAAUCGGAUUUACUGGGCGUAAAGCGUGCGUAGGCGGCUUCUUAAGUCGGAUGUGAAAUACCUGAGCUUAACUUAGGAAUUGCAUUCGAUACUGGGAAGCUAGAGUAUGGGAGAGGAUGGUAGAAUUCCAGGUGUAGCGGUGAAAUGCGUAGAGAUAUGGAGGAAUACCGAUGGCGAAGGCAGCCAUCUGGCCUAAUACUGACGCUGAGGUGCGAAAGCGUGGGGAGCAAACAGGAUUAGAUACCCCAGUAGUCCCUGUCUCUUAUAA